rnacentral:rRNA from 1 species
GAUGAACGCUGGCGGCGUGCCUAAUACAUGCAAGUCGAGCGAACGGACGAGAAGCUUGCUUCUCUGAUGUUAGCGGCGGACGGGUGAGUAACACGUGGAUAACCUACCUAUAAGACUGGGAUAACUUCGGGAAACCGGAGCUAAUACCGGAUAAUAUUUUGAACCGCAUGGUUCAAAAGUGAAAGACGGUCUUGCUGUCACUUAUAGAUGGAUCCGCGCUGCAUUAGCUAGUUGGUAAGGUAACGGCUUACCAAGGCAACGAUGCAUAGCCGACCUGAGAGGGUGAUCGGCCACACUGGAACUGAGACACGGUCCAGACUCCUACGGGAGGCAGCAGUAGGGAAUCUUCCGCAAUGGGCGAAAGCCUGACGGAGCAACGCCGCGUGAGUGAUGAAGGUCUUCGGAUCGUAAAACUCUGUUAUUAGGGAAGAACAUAUGUGUAAGUAACUGUGCACAUCUUGACGGUACCUAAUCAGAAAGCCACGGCUAACUACGUGCCAGCAGCCGCGGUAAUACGUAGGUGGCAAGCGUUAUCCGGAAUUAUUGGGCGUAAAGCGCGCGUAGGCGGUUUUUUAGUCUGAUGUGAAAGCCCACGGCUCAACCGUGGAGGGUCAUUGGAAACUGGAAAACUUGAGUGCAGAAGAGGAAAGUGGAAUUCCAUGUGUAGCGGUGAAAUGCGCAGAGAUAUGGAGGAACACCAGUGGCGAAGGCGACUUUCUGGUCUGUAACUGACGCUGAUGUGCGAAAGCGUGGGGAUCAAACAGGAUUAGAUACCCUGGUAGUCCGCGCCGUAAACGAUGAGUGCUAAGUGUUAGGGGGUUUCCGCCCCUUAGUGCUGCAGCUAACGCAUUAAGCACUCCGCCUGGGGAGUACGACCGCAAGGUUGAAACUCAAAGGAAUUGACGGGGACCCGCACAAGCGGUGGAGCAUGUGGUUUAAUUCGAAGCAACGCGAAGAACCUUACCAAAUCUUGACAUCCUUUGACAACUCUAGAGAUAGAGCUUUCCCCUUCGGGGGACAAAGUGACAGGUGGUGCAUGGUUGUCGUCAGCUCGUGUCGUGAGAUGUUGGGUUAAGUCCCGCAACGAGCGCAACCCUUAAGCUUAGUUGCCAUCAUUAAGUUGGGCACUCUAAGUUGACUGCCGGUGACAAACCGGAGGAAGGUGGGGAUGACGUCAAAUCAUCAUGCCCCUUAUGACUUGGGCUACACACGUGCUACAAUGGACAAUACAAAGGGCAGCGAAACCGUGAGGUCAAGCAAAUCCCAUAAAGUUGUUCUCAGUUCGGAUUGUAGUCUGCAACUCGACUACAUGAAGCUGGAAUCGCUAGUAAUCGUAGAUCAGCAUGCUACGGUGAAUACGUUCCCGGGUCU